CCAGCAGCCGCGGUAAUUCCAGCUCCAAUAGCGUAUAUUAAAGUUGUUGCAGUUAAAAAGCUCGUAGUUGGAUUUCUGGCGGGAGCGACCGUCCCGGGCUUGAUUGUCCGUGUGAUGAGUUGCCUCCAGCCAUCCUCGCGGAGAGCGUUGUUGCCAUUAAUUUGGUGAUGAUGGGAUCCGCGUCGUUUACUGUGAAAAAAUUAGAGUGUUUAAAGCAGGCAAUAUGCUUGAAUACAUUAGCAUGGAAUAAUAAGAUAGGACUUUGGUACUAUUUUGUUGGUUUGCAUACCAAAGUAAUGAUUAAUAGGAACAGUUGUGGAUAUUCGUAUGAGCAUGUCAGAGGUGAAAUUCUUGGAUUUUGAU
rnacentral:rRNA from 1 species